CUGAUCGGCUUACAGACAGGCAAUCAAAAACUGAAUUCAACCCAUAUUUCGAAAGCCCACCUACAAAACAAGCCCGUCUGAGUGGAAGCAUACGAUCCUGCACAAUAAGGGGCAUCCACGGAUCCUCAACGACAGGAUAGCUGAAUAAUAAAACCAAUAUGGUGAUACGGUAGGAUUGUAAAAGUGCUCAGGAUAUAAGCAUGUGAGAAGCAAGCAGGUAAGCACAUUAUGCAGCCAAAACUGCACCAAAAAUACAUAUAAAGCAAGCUUCCUUCUUUUGUAUACAGUACUGCCAAACACCUUCCAAUAAUGAAUAAACAUGCUUCGGCCUAUCUACAUGUCAUCAUGCUUUCAACUGGUAAACUCGCGAAGUCCAGAAAUUUCCAGCACAAAGCGUAUUUACAUAUUUAGAUACAUAUCAAGAACAAGAACCAUAAAUUGUUCAAUCCUCUAUCGUGAGCUAAGAGCCUGAUCCGAAUACAGGUAAGAGAAGCACAUAAAAGGUUAGCUUGUAAUGCAAAUCAGUGGAUAGACCUCCACACAGGUGGUAGAAGCUUGAAAGCAACCUGUCCAUAUCAUGUGAUUGGAAGCAAAUAAAGGAACAAUCAUAAACUUUAAAAGCCCCUCGAGCUAGGGAAGGUAAUCCAUUGGAGUUGGAUUUCCAAUUCACCACAUUCCACAUUUUUUAAUCUGAGGUAGAGAUCUUGAACAACCUUGCCAUCACUAUAAAUAAUGCAGCUAUCCUCAGAU